UACGGAGGGGGCUAGCGUUGUUCGGAAUUACUGGGCGUAAAGCGCGCGUAGGCGGACCUGCAAGUCGGGGGUGAAAGCCCGAGGCUCAACCUCGGAACUGCCUUCGAUACUGCGGGUCUCGAGUCCGGGAGAGGUGAGUGGAAUUCCUAGUGUAGCGGUGAAAUGCGCAGAUAUCAGGAGGAACACCAAUGGCGAAGGCAGCUCGCUGGAACGGUACUGACGCUGAGGCGCGAAAGCGUGGGGAGCGAACAGG
rnacentral:rRNA from 1 species